CUUCUAAGAGAUCGCUGUCUUUCUUGAACUAAGGAGCCCAGAACUGGACACAGUACUCCAGCACAGGCCUGGAAGAGCACACAAUUGAAAAGUUCGAGACUGCAGAAAAAAAAGUGAUUCCAUAAGUCCAAACACCAUUAUUCUGCUGGACAGAUACUCUGCAGCUCAUUCAGAUGGAGGAAUUUUUGGAUGAUCAUCAUGCAAGAUGAAAACAAAAAUUUUCCACAAGAAGACCUCAGUCACUUUGUCCAAAAUUAUAACUAAAGAGUUUCCCCUUAGGCCUACUAUAUAUACUACCUGCAGACUAAGCUACAGAGAAGCAGAGCAGCAGUUCUCUGAUUUAUCUGUGGGCCAUUUUUCCCACAGAGUUGGAGUCAUAAUGGCAUGACUCUAUACAAAAUGCUUCAAACAUAAAUUCAGCUCAGGAGAGUAAUUGAUGUCAUUGCAGGUACAGCCCUUUUCUGGAGGCUUGCUGUACUAUUCCACUUGUGAGUUAACUGCCAGAGAUAGUUGUCCUAGGGGCAGCAGAUGUACUACAUGAGGAAUUCUGCUGUCUGGACUGUAUGUUCCCAAGUAGCCAUGCUGAUAAUUUGUUCAUUUUUGAGAUAGAGUUGCUAUAAAGAGUCUUCCUAUGACUAUAUACAUGAUUUAAGGAAAAAUAAAAGUACAUCAUAUUAAUAUCAAUUCUAUGUUAAAACAAUUGCUCUGUUUGAUUAUGAGUCCUCAUUCCAAAAAGAAUUUUGAGGAGUUUCUCUACAGAAUUAUCAGCUCCCUCUAGUUAUUUGACUUUCAUUGCAUGUCUGAUGGGAUUGUACCCUCUAAAAUUUGUGGAUGCUUGCAUAUAUAAUCCAAGAUUUUACACUGCCGAAAAGUUAGCUUCACUGGAGCAAGAGAACUUCUGAGUGAAAGAGUUCAGAUCAAAUUAAAAGAUCUGCUGAUCCUGAGAUGCCAAAAUCAGACAAAAGAAAAAUAAUCUAAUGACACAGGUAGAAGACUUUUACAGUCCAAAGAUCUGGAAGGAUAGCUAUUUAUCAUCUGAAGCCAUUUGGAGCUUAGAAUGAUUAAAUAACAGGAGUUUUAUAGUAAUUUGUUGUCUUUAGGAUUCAGAGAAACUUCCUGAAAAGUCAUACGUGCAUUCCUACACAAUACUUACGAAUACCAGACAUUACGUAUUCAAUGAACUAAUUAAAUGUACUAACUAAUAAAAUGUACUAGCUCUUCAAAUUGAGGUAAGAUUACAAUUUUUUUAUCAUUUUAUUCAAUAUGCCAUUUCUGGCAGAGUUUUUAUUAGUUCCAGGUUUUAUAACCAUUUCUCUAAUCUCUCCAGAAAUACAGUAGAGGAGAAAAGAAUUACUGGGAGCAAACAUCCUUGGUAAUCCCUCCAUUUUGUACUUUGCAGAUAGCUGAAUUUUGCUUUUAGCAAGAACGUGCUUUUUUUCAAGUCUUAACCACAUAGUACAGUCAUUUAGUAGACAAUGUGCUAGUUAAAUCAGAAGCUCUUUAAAGAAGGUGGUCUAUUUGAACAGAAAUGUAAAUGACAUGCUGUUUUUCAUAUUUCCUAAAAUGAUUUUACACUGAUUUAUUUAUAUUUCACAUACAUAGGCCUCCCUUUCUUGACUUUGUGUAAUGAAUUUCAAGUGUAUUCUUCCAAAAAUAUCUUCUGGAUUCCUUCAUAUUGCUUAUUAAGCAGUACUGCAUAUCUGUUAUCCACUAGAAAUUUAUUCAUGUUUUAACACUCCAGUUAGUAAAAAAAAAUUAAAAAAAAGAAAUACAAAUACAGAUUAAAUUACAGACCUGUGAAUUGUUUAUGUGAAAUGUAUCCUGAUACAGAAUCGCAGAAUGUCGGGGAUUGGAAAGGACCUCGAAAGAUCAUCUAGUCAAUCCCCCUACCGCAGCAGGAACACCUAGAUUAGGUUACACAGGAAUGCGUCCAGGCAGAUUUGGAUGUCUCACUAUGAAGUUGUGUGUCACUGUCUCACUAUUGUCUCACUAUUAGCCUCACAGUGAAUAAGUUUUUUCUAGUAUUUAUGUGGAACCUCCUAUGUUCUAGCUUGCACCCAUUGCCCCUUGUCCUGCCAUUGGAUGUCACUGAGAAGAGCCUGGCUCCAUCCUCCUGACACUCACCUUUUACAUAUUUAUAAACAUUAAUGAGGUCACCCCUCAGUCUUCUCUUCCCCAAGCUGAAGAAACUGAGCUCCCUCAGCCUUUCCUCGUAAGAGAGAUGCUCCACUCCCUUAAUCAUCUUUGUGGUUCUGCACUGGACUCUCUCAAGCAGUUCCUUGCCCUUCCUGAACUGAAGAGCCCAGAACUGGACACAGUACUCCAGAUGCGGUCUUACCAGGGCAUGGCAGAGAGGGAAGAGAACCUCUCUUGACCUACUAACCACACUCCAAUACACCCCAGGAUGCCACUGGCCUUCUUGGCCACAAGCACACAGUGCUGGCUCAUGGUCAUCCUGCUGUCCACCAGGACCCCCAAGUCCCUUUCACCUACACUGCUCUCCAAUAGGUCAGUCCCCAGCAUACACUGGUACAUGGGGUUGUUUUUGCAUCUGGAUAAGAACAGCACCAUAUUCACAAUAUCAUGUGAAAUUUCCAUUCACAGCUGGCACCUUAAAAUGCCUGUAUGCUGUACUAAUCCUAUUAAUUUUAUAGGAUUAAACUAUUGAAAAAAACCCAUAAUGAUACAUAUGUGACUUCGAGCAAGUCACUUCUCUCUGCUCUUUAUAAUUCUUUUUUAUGGAAAAAAAAAAUGGCAUUGGGAUGGAGGAUCCAGAGAAGUCAAUGUUCUUUAAUUAGGCUUUUAAAUAAUUACGAGUACUAAGAAUACUGCAUGUUAUGUGUGCAAAGUACAGUUCUGUACAUUAAAAAUAUGUUGUAAUUGAACUCAUUGUAACCACUGCAGUACCUAUAAUCACAAUUAUUUCCUUAUGAAAUAUUGGAGUAAAACAGGAACUCUACAUUAGUAGAAGUCUAAAGAUAAUCACUACAAAGAAUCUCUUUCUGGCUUCUGUACCUCCAUAGUAUCUUCGUGGCCAAGAUGGACAUAUGUCUGAUAAACUGCAUCCACAUAAAUAUAUUUGAUCCACUGUAACUGUAAAUUACUGUUCUUAUGCAACUGUAAGUGCAAUCCUAAAAUAUGCUGAGUGUCCCUUGGUUUUGGGCAAUCAAAGAAAAAUAACACUAACAUUUCAAAGUUUGGGAAUUAUUCACUAUAGUGCUGAUGUGGUUCUAAUUUAAGCUGAUCUCCUACCAAUCUUUCCUAAGGAAAAAUUAAUUUUUAGGUGUGAUCUUAAGUAUCAGUAUAAAGAAAAUUAAUUAAAUUUGAUCUGGGUUAGUGUCUUGUGUUCAUUACUAUUAAAAAGCACAAAACUGUUUAGGCUUUGACACAGAAAAUGUUUUCAUAAAAUAUCCUU